ACCGUACUAAAAAAAUAUCAAAAUGUUCCUGGGUCACCCAACCUUCAAAUCUCAGACUCACUGCCAUAGUCUCUUCUUUGUCUCUUCUCCUUUACACUCGGCUCCGGAUUUUCUUCGACAGCUCCCUUCUCCAUCCUCUUCCUUCUUUUCCUCCACGGCGCCCUGCCAAGGUCACCGCAGUAUUCGUCGCGCGCCUCACCCAGCCGAGGAGAACGUCGUCGCGUCAGAGAGCGUCGCCGUCUUCCUCGUUCCAGAGAGCAUCGCCGUCUUUCUCGUUCUUCAUCACCGUCGUCAGCCUCUCCCUUCCGAAUGGAGCAAAAUGUAAUAAUCCUGGUUGGUUAAUUACCUUGUGGUUGGUCUUGAACCAAUCACCAAUGAGCAAAGUGAAAUCACCAGCAGGGUUUGGAUAAGGGAUUGGGAUGACAGAUCUGUGAUAGAUAUUGAGUCCUCCAAAUCCUCCAGCGGCUUUGUGAAAUGCAGUUGAUGGAAAGUAGGAAAAGGCAUUGGUGAAGAUGAUGGCUGUUUGAUGUACCUAUCAUCGAAUUACUGCAAGUGCCUAUAAUCUUUUAGAUGUGGUUCUUUACCAAGCAACUUAUGGCCACAAUAUAUCAGCAAAAGGCGGUCGAUAUAAAUGAGAGGGAGCUUGGGCUUGAUCAUCCUGACACAAUAAAAAGCUAUGGGGACCUUUCUGUCUUUUACUAUCGUAUGCAACAAUACGAGCUCGCUUUGAAGUAGGUUACAAUGACUCUCCUCUUCAAAAUGGUUUCGAUGCCUAUGCCAUGAAGAAUUUCUGUUGAUUGUUGUAUUCAGGGCACCAAAAAACUGUGACUCUUUUAAUGCAGUGUGUCAGAUCUUCUGGAUUUUAUAAGUCCCGAGCUUGAUUCUAAUGGAAAUGAACAAGCUCAGAGAAAACAGCAGCGUGGGAAGGUUCUCUGCCAAAUUUUUACAUGGUGUUACCUUAUAUAUUUGACAUUAAUUGCUUUAUUGUUAUAAACUGCUGCUACCUUUGUUUUGUAAAAUUUUCUAUUGUGUUGCCUCAUUAUGCAAGUUGUCGAUUAUAUCUCUAAUCUUUUAGAUACUUCUACCAAUAAGUGAACAAAACCUUCAACGUGAAAAUGCACCAAGCAAUGUGGGUGUUUUCUAUAAUGGCUUGGAAUAUGCUACUGGUACGGCAGAAAACAAAACAAAAGAAAGAUCUGGCAUGGUGGAUUAUGAAGUUAUGAACGAAAAUGGCAAUAAUGUCCCUAUGUAUAGUCCACCAGUGUCAAGUGAAUCUAUUCACCAGGAGGAGACAUCAUCAGAUGAGGGCUGGCAAGAAGCCAAUUCAAAAGGGCGAUCUAGGAACACAGCGAAUCACAAGCUUGGUCGCAAAGGAUCUCAUCUUUCAAAGCUGAGGACUAAUGUUAUCAGAGAAAGUCCACAGAAAUCAAGUUCAAGAGUCUCUCAAAAGUAUUAUCUCCAUCUAGGCAAUCAGAGCCUGAAAACUUGGCUUUCAUAGAAGAUUCUGCCGGUCAACUAAGUCCAACAAAACCUAUUAGAGUGUCUAAAAGUUCUGCUAGCCUAAUACCAUAUGACACGUUCAUGUCUUCUGGAACAAAUUUUUCUUUUCUAUUUAAUAAAAUAACAAAGGAAUUGAACUAU